UACAUUUUAGUAUUUAGGUAUAAAAAUUUUUGAAAUUUUAGGGAUUAGAUCAAAUCUAUUAGAUGUAA
rnacentral:tRNA from 1 species